rnacentral:pre_miRNA from 1 species
AGUGGGAUGGCUAGAUCAAAUGGUGGUUCCAAGUUUUCUAAGGAAUCUCCAUACUGCUUUCCAGAUUGGUUGCACCAAUUUGCAGUCCCACCAGCAAU